rnacentral:rRNA from 1 species
CCUACGGGUGGCAGCAGUGAGGAAUAUUGGUCAAUGGACGAGAGUCUGAACCAGCCAUGUAGCGUGAAGGAUGACUGCCCUAUGGGUUGUAAACUUCUUUUAUAUGGGGAUAAAACGUUCCACGUGUGGGGUUUUGUAUGUACCAUAUGAAUAAGGAUCGGCUAACUCCGUGCCAGCAGCCGCGGUAAUACGGAGGAUCCGAGCGUUAUCCGGAUUUAUUGGGUUUAAAGGGAGCGUAGGUGGAUUGUUAAGUCAGUUGUGAAAGUUUGCGGCUCAACCGUAAAAUUGCAGUUGAUACUGGUAGUCUAGAGAACAGUAGAGGUAGGCGGAAUGUGUGGUGUAGCGGUGAAAUGCUUAGAUAUCACGAAGAACACCGAUUGCGAAGGCAGUUCACUGGACUGCAACUGACACUGAGGCUCGAAAGUGUGGGUAGCAAACAGGAUUAGAUACCCGAGUAGUC